rnacentral:rRNA from 1 species
GGUUAAGCGACUAAGCGUACACGGUGGAUGCCCUGGCAGUCAGAGGCGAUGAAGGACGUGCUAAUCUGCGAUAAGCGUCGGUGAGGUGAUAUGAACCGUUAUAACCGGCGAUUUCCGAAUGGGGAAACCCAGUGUGUUUCGACACACUAUCAUUAACUGAAUCCAUAGGUUAAUGAGGCGAACCGGGGGAACUGAAACAUCUAAGUACCCCGAGGAAAAGAAAUCAACCGAGAUUCCCCCAGUAGCGGCGAGCGAACGGGGAGGAGCCCAGAGCCUGAAUCAGUGUGUGUGUUAGUGGAAGCGUCUGGAAAGGCGCGCGAUACAGGGUGACAGCCCCGUACACAAAAAUGCACAUACUGUGAGCUCGAUGAGUAGGGCGGGACACGUGGUAUCCUGUCUGAAUAUGGGGGGACCAUCCUCCAAGGCUAAAUACUCCUGACUGACCGAUAGUGAACCAGUACCGUGAGGGAAAGGCGAAAAGAACCCCGGCGAGGGGAGUGAAAAAGAACCUGAAACCGUGUACGUACAAGCAGUGGGAGCCUCUUAAUGGGGUGACUGCGUACCUUUUGUAUAAUGGGUCAGCGACUUAUAUUCUGUAGCAAGGUUAACCGAAUAGGGGAGCCGAAGGGAAACCGAGUCUUAACUGGGCGUUAAGUUGCAGGGUAUAGACCCGAAACCCGGUGAUCUAGCCAUGGGCAGGUUGAAGGUUGGGUAACACUAACUGGAGGACCGAACCGACUAAUGUUGAAAAAUUAGCGGAUGACUUGUGGCUGGGGGUGAAAGGCCAAUCAAACCGGGAGAUAGCUGGUUCUCCCCGAAAGCUAUUUAGGUAGCGCCUCGUGAAUUCAUCUCCGGGGGUAGAGCACUGUUUCGGCAAGGGGGUCAUCCCGACUUACCAACCCGAUGCAAACUGCGAAUACCGGAGAAUGUUAUCACGGGAGACACACGGCGGGUGCUAACGUCCGUCGUGAAGAGGGAAACAACCCAGACCGCCAGCUAAGGUCCCAAAGUCAUGGUUAAGUGGGAAACGAUGUGGGAAGGCCCAGACAGCCAGGAUGUUGGCUUAGAAGCAGCCAUCAUUUAAAGAAAGCGUAAUAGCUCACUGGUCGAGUCGGCCUGCGCGGAAGAUGUAACGGGGCUAAACCAUGCACCGAAGCUGCGGCAGCGACACUAUGUGUUGUUGGGUAGGGGAGCGUUCUGUAAGCCUGUGAAGGUGUACUGUGAGGUAUGCUGGAGGUAUCAGAAGUGCGAAUGCUGACAUAAGUAACGAUAAAGCGGGUGAAAAGCCCGCUCGCCGGAAGACCAAGGGUUCCUGUCCAACGUUAAUCGGGGCAGGGUGAGUCGACCCCUAAGGCGAGGCCGAAAGGCGUAGUCGAUGGGAAACAGGUUAAUAUUCCUGUACUUGGUGUUACUGCGAAGGGGGGACGGAGAAGGCUAUGUUGGCCGGGCGACGGUUGUCCCGGUUUAAGCGUGUAGGCUGGUUUUCCAGGCAAAUCCGGAAAAUCAAGGCUGAGGCGUGAUGACGAGGCACUACGGUGCUGAAGCAACAAAUGCCCUGCUUCCAGGAAAAGCCUCUAAGCAUCAGGUAACAUCAAAUCGUACCCCAAACCGACACAGGUGGUCAGGUAGAGAAUACCAAGGCGCUUGAGAGAACUCGGGUGAAGGAACUAGGCAAAAUGGUGCCGUAACUUCGGGAGAAGGCACGCUGAUAUGUAGGUGAAGCGACUUGCUCGUGGAGCUGAAAUCAGUCGAAGAUACCAGCUGGCUGCAACUGUUUAUUAAAAACACAGCACUGUGCAAACACGAAAGUGGACGUAUACGGUGUGACGCCUGCCCGGUGCCGGAAGGUUAAUUGAUGGGGUUAGCGGUAACGCGAAGCUCUUGAUCGAAGCCCCGGUAAACGGCGGCCGUAACUAUAACGGUCCUAAGGUAGCGAAAUUCCUUGUCGGGUAAGUUCCGACCUGCACGAAUGGCGUAAUGAUGGCCAGGCUGUCUCCACCCGAGACUCAGUGAAAUUGAACUCGCUGUGAAGAUGCAGUGUACCCGCGGCAAGACGGAAAGACCCCGUGAACCUUUACUAUAGCUUGACACUGAACAUUGAGCCUUGAUGUGUAGGAUAGGUGGGAGGCUUUGAAGUGUGGACGCCAGUCUGCAUGGAGCCGGCCUUGAAAUACCACCCUUUAAUGUUUGAUGUUCUAACGUUGGCCCCUGAUCGGGGUUGCGGACAGUGUCUGGUGGGUAGUUUGACUGGGGCGGUCUCCUCCUAAAGAGUAACGGAGGAGCACGAAGGUUGGCUAAUCCUGGUCGGACAUCAGGAGGUUAGUGCAAUGGCAUAAGCCAGCUUGACUGCGAGCGUGACGGCGCGAGCAGGUGCGAAAGCAGGUCAUAGUGAUCCGGUGGUUCUGAAUGGAAGGGCCAUCGCUCAACGGAUAAAAGGUACUCCGGGGAUAACAGGCUGAUACCGCCCAAGAGUUCAUAUCGACGGCGGUGUUUGGCACCUCGAUGUCGGCUCAUCACAUCCUGGGGCUGAAGUAGGUCCCAAGGGUAUGGCUGUUCGCCAUUUAAAGUGGUACGCGAGCUGGGUUUAGAACGUCGUGAGACAGUUCGGUCCCUAUCUGCCGUGGGCGCUGGAGAACUGAGGGGGGCUGCUCCUAGUACGAGAGGACCGGAGUGGACGCAUCACUGGUGUUCGGGUUGUCAUGCCAAUGGCACUGCCCGGUAGCUAAAUGCGGAAGAGAUAAGUGCUGAAAGCAUCUAAGCACGAAACUUGCCCCGAGAUGAGUUCUCCCUGACUCCUUGAGAGUCCUGAAGGAACGUUGAAGACGACGACGUUGAUAGGCCGGGUGUGUAAGCGCAGCGAUGCGUUGAGCUAACCGGUACUAAUGAACCGUGAGGCUUAACCUU